rnacentral:tRNA from 1 species
GCGGUCAUCGUCUAGUUUGGUUAGGACACUGGCCUUCCAAACUAGAGCGGGAAUUCAAAUCCCGGUGACCGCA